AGAGAGCUGACAGAGUUGGUCGAAUGUACCGGUUUUGAAAACCGGCGAGGGUUAUACCUCCAGCGGUUCGAAUCCGCUGCUCUCUGCCA
rnacentral:tRNA from 1 species